UACGUAGGGGGCAAGCGUUGUCCGGAGUUACUGGGCGUAAAGCGCCCGCAGGCGGUCCGGUGCGUGUGAGCUGACAGCCCCUUGCUUAACGAGGGGAGGGGCUCGCAGACGGCCGAACUUGAGGGCCAGAGAGGGACAUGGAACUCCGGGUGGAGUGGUGAAAUGCGUAGAGAUCCGGAAGAACACCAAAGGCGAAGGCAGUGUCCUGGCUGGCCCCUGACGCUCAGGGGCGAAAGCGAGGGGAGCGAACGGG
rnacentral:rRNA from 1 species